CUCAACCAUAGGCCCGGUGAAAUUGCAGUACGAGUAAAGAUGCUCGUUUCGCGCAGCAGGACGGAAAGACCCCGGGACCUUUACUACAGUUUGAUAUUGGUGUUCGGUUCGGCUUGUGUAGGAUAGGUGGGAGACUGUGAAGCAUGCACGCCAGUGUGUGUGGAGUCGUCGUUGAAAUACCACUCUGGUCGUGCUGGAUGUCUAACCUGGGUCCGUGAUCCGGAUCAGGGACAGUGUCUGAUGGGUAGUUUAACUGGGGCGGUUGCCUCCUAAAGGGUAACGGAGGCGCCCAAAGGUUCCCUCAGCCUGGUUGGU
rnacentral:ncRNA from 1 species